GUUUUCACGAGACACAUGGUCUGCAGCUCUGCUUACUGCGGAGCUGCAGACCAGUGUCUGCUUUGGCUGGCCGGGCAGCCAGGAGGGGCCUAACACCCGGCGGCAUACCGGGCAAUCCACCGGGACCCCUUUUGGUGUCAGGUCCUCGGUCACUGACCGAGGACCUAACACAGUCUGCCCACAGGUGGCUUAGGUGGCCUUAGGCCCCAGCCAGCGCAAGGCCUUAGGCAGCUGCCUAAACCGCCUUAUUAGAGAGCCGCCUCUGUAGACAUAUUCAUAUGUAAACACACAGACUCACAUACACACAAAUUCAUAUACCCACUUAAUUUGCAAUUCAUUUAUUUAUCUAGUGGGUUGGGCUUCACAUUGAGAUCCUCCCAGCCUCUCUUUUCUUACCUUGAAAGGUAGAGCUGGAGUGGAACCUCAUUCCUGAGAUCCAAUGAUUGGCUGCUAGGAUCAGUCUCUGUACUGAUUUCCCAGCUCCAUUCUCCGCUGUACUGAUGCUGAUGAGUAUCCAUAUUACUCUUUCAGGGCUUGGACAUAAAAAUUACUUAGAGGGAACUCUGCCAUCUAGCUGAGAUAUGUAUUGCUGUGCAAAUUUCGGGCCAACUGGGAUUGUUGAAUGAAUGUUGCCUUUUGUUUGUUUGUUUUUUACCAAGAAAAUUUGUUUUUCUUUUCUGAGAAGCUAUAACCAUAAAUAGUUUAAUGAUUAAAAGUGGUAUAAAAUCAAAUCAAAUAACUCUUUUUUUUUCUCAUCUUCAGAC